CCCGGGGGGGGGGGGGGGGCGGUUCUCAACUGCACGCCGAGGUGCCAUUUUCGCCAAAAGUGAAAUGUGCCUUUAAGCGAGAGCGUGUGUGUGCGCGCGAGGGUGCGUGCGUUUGUGGUUUGUUCUCGGUAAUGGAACGGGACUGAAAUAACCCAGCCUGGGCGGACGGAAUUUGCUAGCGCAGCCCUGCCUUCGCUCAUCCACGAUUAUAGUUAAUUGAUAAUUGCACAGAACGUAGUUUGAGGGCCCGUAAUUAAAAGCUUAACCUUUUCUUGUUUGGGGGAAGGGGAGAACCUGGGUUGGCGUUCCUGAUACACUCUGUAACAUUGAAUUAUGAGGCUUAGGGAAAGAGAAAAAGGAAGUCGAGGCCAGGAUUCCUUUUAAGGACUGAUUCUUGUUUGGUGCCCGGCGGUACCUGAGCUUACGAUUUGUUGUUUGGGGUGCUUCCUCUUUCUCGCACACUUUCCCCUGGUUGAGGUGCGGGGUCUUCUGUGGUCUUUUAAGCACUUCAUGGGAGUUGCAGGGCGUACCAAGCUAUUUGGCUUUUAAGUUCUUAUAUGGGAUGACCCCACAUUCACAGGUUUCGAGGGGAUCUCAUUCUAGCACGAGUCUCUUGGUGAUCUGGUGGGCACUGCUUAGCUAUAUUCUCUUUGCCCCAGUGCUUCUGGGCAUUUAUCAAGGCUGGCCACCAGAUGGGACAUUCGUUAGGAACUUCCUGUCUCCAGGAGAUGGCCAGAGGGGAAAACUUCAGGUCAGGACACACUUUGCUGGGGCCAGAGGAUGUCAGCGUGGUGACUGUUCAGCCUUCAAGGGUUCCAUCCUGUGUGUUGGUGGAGUGUGGCACUGUAGGGCUUUUUGCAUGCUGUCUUGCCCAGCCUCUGCUUGCGCAUUCCGCACGAACUGCAGCAGCCAUACACAUGGGGCAUGUGAAACGGAAUCCAAAUUUGUUGUAGGCCGUUCAGCAGUGAAAAUGCAUGCAAGGGUCGUUCCCCUCGUCGGCAUGAAGGUGUAUACAGCCUUCGGGGCACAUCGUCUCCGGUAUCCUCAGGGUUCUGAGAGACCGUCUGAGAGUGAGCUGUGUCACUUUCCAGAGGAAGAGAUGAGUGGAAGCGAUAUGGAAAAAGCGCCACGUUAAUAAAUAGUCAUGGGGCUUGUUUCUAAUAGUUUGCUCGGAGAUCAGUGCCUGGGUACCACGACCUAAACACGGGUAUGACGGAGUAGGCUCACGGCUGACACACACGUAUUAUGAUGUCUGCCUCUCCAAGGGGUAUAAAUAAACCGCCGGUGAAUUUAGCUGAGGCUCUGGGCUCCAUCGUGGCGCUUUAUUGUUGCUUCGAAAGGAAACGUAACUCUUGGCUCUACCUCUGAUUGGCUGUGCAGUGUAGGAAAAUCACGGUGCCUCCCUGUGCCUGCCUUCUGCCCUGUAAACUGAAAACAAACCAGUCCACGUAAAGUCAGAGUGCUCUCUGGUCUCAGGGACCAGCUUGCUGCAAAGCAUUGAUGGUUAGAAGAAAACAGCUAUAAGAAGAAAGGAGUUUGACGGAGAGAGAAAAGGGCUGGAUAACCAAGAUGAUGAUGUUUAUCACAAGUGGAGACUGGUGUGGUUGAACUAGCUGGUCUCAGAAGGGUUAACACUGCUAGCUCCAGGAGCCUUCGGGGAAAUGCAGAGGCAGCCAUUCACUCCCACAGUCCAUCACAUUCAUUUUUGUUGUUGUUGAGACGACACACAUCGGGCAUCCUUGGCUCGUGGUCCCUGUGUUAUGCGGUGGGCAUAUGGAGAUGCCUCCCCAAGGAACUCAAGGUCUGCUGGGGAAGGCAGAGAAGCAGCAGCUCCGGCAUCCUCGGCACAGCCCGAGGAAUGCUCCAGGUGCUAUAAGAUGACAGGGGAAGAGUAGCUAAUCUGGCUGGGGAACGAGCGUGUCCAACAAGGCUUUCCAGAGCAGGUGUCUUGGGGCUGAGUAGACGCAUCAUGUUUAUUCCACGUUUAUUCCAGUUUUUAGGACUGCUGGGCACGUGCUGGGAUCCCACCUUCCGGCUCCCCUGUUGGUUGGGCGGGACUGAAAGACGAAUUUUGGCCAAUUAUUUGUGAGAAGUCACAGGGUGCCACUUGGGGACUGGAGCAUUUCAUGGCUUGCAGUGAGACCCCGUCUUUUGUCUGCCGUCUGAUGACCAGAAAUGCUCAAGAUAGGACUGCUUCGUGAACCCGAUCUGUGGAUGACUAUGGAAGUUGGUGAUAUCAGAGGAGGACAUCACUUUGGAAAAUGAGUUAAAAAGAAAGAAAAGAAAGAAAGAAAAUCGAGAAAGAGGAAUCCCUGAUAUUUUCAGAGGAAGAAAUACCUGAUUGCCGAAAACAGUCCAUAUCCUGAACAGUUUCCUAGAAAUGCAACUGGUUAAUUUUUAUAAGCCAUUCCAUGCAUCAAACAGCAAGUUCUGAUGCUUCCGAUUGCCCAAAGAGUGUCUAAUAACCCCAGCAUUACGUAUGCUCAACAUCAUGUGACCCUGGUUCUGCAAGAAAGAAUAAUCAUGCUGGUCAUACAGUUUAAGAAGACAAAGAAAUGUGUGCUCAUUUUGGAAAACUUAUCAUCUUCUGCAACUCAGUAAGACAGAGACCCCAAUGGAAAAGGGGCCAAGGUACAAGAUCAAAAUUCACAGAAAGGAAAAAGUACAAAAAGCUAACAAGAAUAUGAAGAGAUGCUCAAAUGCAUUAGUUGCCACAAAGAUCCACCAUGGAAACACGGCCAGGCCAACUUGCUCAGUGAUGAGAAACAAAACUCAUUUACUCACACCGUCCUGGCCGAUCGCCAGACUGUGCUAGACACAUGUUACAUCAGCCAGCCUGUGGCCCAAGCACCAGGUGAGCAUGAGACCCUGAGCGAGCCCAGGAGAGAUUAGCUGAGCUGCCCUGCUACCCUAGAUAUGGAACCUGGCAGCAAAGGUUCUUGGGGGGGUCUAAUCUGGUGCUGGAGAUGAUUGGCUCCCCCAGUCGGUGAGGAAGGGAUCCUCCUGACCCAGCACCUAGACCAACCUCUGUUGGAAGAGACGGAGCUUGAGAGGCAUCCUGUCCUCACGCACAAUCAUGGUGCUAAUCAAAAGUGGCGAGACUGUAUUUUCAGACUUGCACUGUUUGCUUAAAACCACAAUAGGCCAGGAAAUUGCUUCAUGUACAUAAAGGGAUAAAAAAGAUUUAUUUUCCCCAUCGUUUUUCUUGCUCAGAAAUAGUCGUUAGUAGACAUUUCUUCUUUUUUUAAAAACCUGUAGAAAUAUUAACCAACCGGAAAAUAAUUAUCGAUUCUUACACUAUGCUAGGCACUGAGGGAGACUUGUAAAAAGUUAAAAAAA